rnacentral:rRNA from 1 species
GACGAACUGUCCUAACGUUGUUCGGAAUCACUGGGCUUAAAGGGCGCGUAGGCGGUCCGACAAGUCAGGGGUGAAAUCCUGCAGCUUAACUCCAGAACUGCCUUUGAUACUGAAGAUCUUGAGUUCGGGAGAGGUGAGUGGAACUGCGAGUUGUAGAGGUGAAAUUCGUAGAUAUUCGCAAGAACACCAGUGGCGAAGGCGGCUCACUGGCCCGAUACCUGACGCUGAGGCACGAAAGCGUGGGGAGCAACAGGG